rnacentral:rRNA from 1 species
AGAGUUUGAUCCUGGCUCAGGAUGAACGCUAGCGACAGGCUUAACACAUGCAAGUCGAGGGGCAGCAGGGGAGUAGCAAUACUCCCGCUGGCGACCGGCGCACGGGUGAGUAACACGUAUGCAACCUGCCCUUGUCAGGGGGAUAAGCGGAAGAAAUUCCGUCUAAUACCGCAUAAUGCUGCGGGGAGACAUCUCCCUGCAGCCAAAGAUUUAUCGGACAAGGAUGGGCAUGCGGCGCAUUAGCUGGUUGGCGGGGUAACGGCCCACCAAGGCGACGAUGCGUAGGGGUUCUGAGAGGAAGGUCCCCCACACUGGUACUGAGACACGGACCAGACUCCUACGGGAGGCAGCAGUGAGGAAUAUUGGUCAAUGGCCGGGAGGCUGAACCAGCCAAGUCGCGUGAGGGAAGACGGUCCUAUGGAUUGUAAACCUCUUUUGUCAGGGAGCAAAAACUGCCACGCGUGGCAGGAUGAGAGUACCUGAAGAAAAAGCAUCGGCUAACUCCGUGCCAGCAGCCGCGGUAAUACGGAGGAUGCGAGCGUUAUCCGGAUUUAUUGGGUUUAAAGGGUGCGUAGGCGGACAGUUAAGUCAGCGGUAAAAUUGAGAGGCUCAACCUCUUCCCGCCGUUGAAACUGAUUGUCUUGAGUGGGCGAGAAGUAUGCGGAAUGCGUGGUGUAGCGGUGAAAUGCAUAGAUAUCACGCAGAACUCCGAUUGCGAAGGCAGCAUACCGGCGCCCAACUGACGCUGAGGCACGAAAGCGUGGGUAUCGAACAGGAUUAGAUACCCUGGUAGUCCACGCAGUAAACGAUGAAUACUAAUUGUUCGGGUCAAAUGAGAUCUGAGUGAUACAGCGAAAGCGUUAAGUAUUCCACCUGGGGAGUACGCCGGCAACGGUGAAACUCAAAGGAAUUGACGGGGGCCCGCACAAGCGGAGGAACAUGUGGUUUAAUUCGAUGAUACGCGAGGAACCUUACCCGGGCUCAAACGACACAGGAAUGAUCUGAGAAAUCAGGCAGUCCUCCGGGACCUGUGUCGAGGUGCUGCAUGGUUGUCGUCAGCUCGUGCCGUGAGGUGUCGGCUUAAGUGCCAUAACGAGCGCAACCCCCAUCGACAGUUGCCAGCAGGUGAAGCUGGGCACUCUGUCGAGACUGCCGGCGCAAGCUGUGAGGAAGGCGGGGAUGACGUCAAAUCAGCACGGCCCUUACGUCCGGGGCGACACACGUGUUACAAUGGCCGGUACAGCGGGAAGCCAGGCGGCGACGCCGAGCGGAACCCGAAAACCGGUCUCAGUUCGGAUCGGAGUCUGCAACCCGACUCCGUGAAGCUGGAUUCGCUAGUAAUCGCGCAUCAGCCAUGGCGCGGUGAAUACGUUCCCGGGCCUUGCACUCACCGCCCGUCAAG